UCCUACGGGAGGGCAGCAGUGGGGAAUAUUGGACAAUGGGGGCAACCCUGAUCCAGCGACGCCGCGUGUGUGAAGAAGGCCUGCGGGUUGUAAAGCACUUUUAGUGGGGAGGAAGGCCCUCGACCUAAUACGUCGGAGGAUUGACUUAACCCACAGAAAAAGCACCGGCUAACUCUGUGC
rnacentral:rRNA from 1 species